CGAGAUAUUGUUGCAUGGAGGGUAAUGAUAGAUGGGUAUGUUUUUCAAUUUUUAAAAGUUCCCAAUACUUUAAAUAAAAGAUAGAUACUUCUGAAUACAAAAAGACUUGUGUAAUUUUGAUGAGACCUAUUGGCCCAGAGUGCCUACAUGUGAAGUAAAUAAUGAUUUUGAGUAAUUAAAGAUUGAAUAUAAUUUGUAUUAAUAGUGAAGUAAACUUACCAGAAAGUUGUAGAAAACUUUUUUUUUUUUUUUUUUUGAGAUAAAACCAAUCUGGGAU
rnacentral:lncRNA from 1 species